AAUGAACGUUUGCGGCGUGCCUGAUGCAUGCAAGUCGAACGCUCCAACGGUUCGCAAGGAUUGUUGGGGAGUGGCGGACGGCUGAGUAACACGUAAGUUACCUACCUCUAAGUGGGGAAUAACUUGCCGAAAGGCAAGCUAAUACCGCAUAUGCAGUAUUUGUAAAGCUUUCGGGCGCUUGGAGAUGGGCUUGCGGCUGAUUAGCUAGUUGGUAGGGUAAUGGCCUACCAAGGCGAUGAUCAGUAGCUGGUCUGAGAGGACGACCAGCCAGACAGGGACUGCGACACGGCCCUGACUCCUACGGGAGGCAG
rnacentral:rRNA from 1 species